CACGUAGGGUGCGAGCGUUGUCCGGAAUUAUUGGGCGUAAAGAGCUCGUAGGCGGUGUGUCGCGUCGGCCGUGAAAACCUGCAGCUUAACUGUGGGCGUGCGGUUGAUACGGGCAUCACUGGAGUUCGGCAGGGGAGACUGGAAUUCCUGGUGUAGCGGUGAAAUGCGCAGAUAUCAGGAGGAACACCGGUGGCGAAGGCGGGUCUCUGGGCCGAUACUGACGCUGAGGAGCGAAAGCGUGGGGAGCAAACAGG
rnacentral:rRNA from 1 species